GUUGUUCCAGGGAGUGUCUGACUAGUUCUGCAGCUUGGCAAAAAAGCCAGACGUUACCUCAUAGCUGCGGCCAGACAGCCCAUUUCUAUGCCAGGCAACCACUGCAGAAGCACAGAGCACAGGGCCCUGCUUGAUUAGCACUUCUGCUGUUUCGAGAGUCCUGGAGUGUUUUGUUCAAGCAGAGCACUGCAAAACUGGCAUCUGCCAGAAGGAUUUGUUCCAUCCCUGAAUAGCUGCACCUCUGGUUCCCCCCGCGCUGCUGUCAGGUACAAACAGGUUCACACCUGCUGCAUAGCUCGGGCUUGAAGGAAUGCAUGUGCAAAUCUGGCAGAUUAAAUGCUUGAAGGAACUGCACAGUCAGGCUCCCAGAAAAUGAGGGCGCACACCAAAAAAUCAGCACCUCAGCACACAACCAGGUGAGCACAUCAGGGGCAGGGAGGGAAUCCAGGGCAAGGCCGCCUAUCCCGACCUUCCUGCGGCCCAGGAAGGACGCAGAACCUGCAGAGAGGAGCAGGCAUUGCUGUCCUCCUACCUGGCCAGUGUUUU